CUGCUGUGAUGCAGACAGUCCUAAAAAAGUACUUUGAACCACUCCCAAGCAUGAUACAAAUUUUCAUCUGGAUUUUGUUUGAAGCACACAAUCUCACUUUAAAGUCU
rfam:Capsicum annuum cultivar Zunla-1 chromosome 1, whole genome shotgun sequence